ACUGCUAUCAGAGUACGCCUAAGCCAUGCAAAUCUGCCCGUCGGCUUCGACGGACGGUGUACGGCUCAGUAGCAAGUAGUCAAUCUGCCCUAAGGACGGGUACGCCCUCGGGAAACUGAGGCUAAUGCCCGAUGCUCCAUCUGUGCUGGAAUGCUUGAUGGAGAAAAAGCGCGAUGAAUUGUAGCCGUUGCGCCUUAGGAUGAGACUGCUCCUGAUUAGGUAGUUGGUGAGGUAACGGCUCAUCAAGCCGAUAAUCAGUAGGGGCAAUGGGAGUUGGCGCCCCGAGAAGGGCACUGAGACAAGGGCCCUAGUCCUACGGGAUGCAGCAGGCGCGAAACCUUUACAAUGCGCGAAAGCGUGAUAAGGGAACUCUGAGUGGCAGCCGGCUUUUGCCGACUGUCUUUUGGCAAGCCUAGAUCGUUUGCAGAAUAAGUUCUGGGUAAGACCAGUGCCAGCCGCCA
rnacentral:rRNA from 1 species